GUGAAUAACUUUUAAAAAGUUACUAGAUUUUGAAAAAGAAAAGUACUCUUUCUUUGAGAUAAUUAUAAAGGCAAGCCCUCCUUCGAUUGUUCUAAAUCGUGCAAGGGUAGGUAGAGAGUUCAAAAGGGGAUUUUCAAGUAGAAGGAAUUUGUAUCAUUCGCUAUACGUGUGCAAUAAGACGCACUAAUCCAACGAAAGCAUUUUAAAUAAGUACAUAAUCAAGUCGGUGAGCAAGGGAAUCAAGUUUCGUAUCAUGUUGGUCUGGCGCAUAUCGUUGAUUGCAAUAAAGCGACGCAGUGAUCGAACACGCGUCGCAUCAAAAAGAUAGCACAAAAUCGUGAUCGCUUUACAAGGCACGUUUAUUAUUACGAUUUUAUCCAGUUAAAAUAAUUGUCAAGCGAAUUUUUCGGAACCUUGGCUAAUCGAGGAUCGUAUAAACGUUCAAAGUGCAGUCCGUGUGCAGCGAUCUGUCGAAAACAGUGAUCGAAAAUCUCACGAAUACAUACGAGUACAAGGUGCAACGUCGAACUUGUAAACAUAUCGAGAACAUAAUAUCAUAUUUUUUUCAUGCAAUCGACUCUCAAAAAAUACCGUUUCCAUCCCCCAGUGUGAAAACUGUGACUCAAUAGAUAGCUGCACGUUCACGCGAUCGCAAAAGAGAAUAAAUAUAUAAAUAAAUAUGGUGGUACGUACAUAUAAAUGAUACACGCAUGUUGCAACGUGGACGAAUGCAUGCGCGUACAAAACUGACACUUAGACACUUAAUAUACAUAUACAAAGUAAAAAGUUUCACGCUAUAUAAAAGCUCAAAAGGAAAUCUUUAUAGGACGUAUCUCUCUAGAUGCAUCCGCUACGAAUCUCAAUCUAUGCAAUCUCUAUUUUUAUUACUUGACAAGUAGUAUAGUGAAUUACCUUUAUGGAUAUUGUUGCGUCGCUUCAGGGUGUUCCGCGGAAAGUGAGAAUAACAUGCUCGAAGUUGUUCUUUCGUUAAGACUUCUAAAAUUCUCGGUGUAAGGAUUUUUAGUGAAUAAAUAUCUCGCGUACGUAACGAAAAAAAGAAACGAAGAAAAAUAAAAGUUAAAGAAUUGAACGUUGUGUAUAAUAAUAUAAUGUACUUGUUACGUUGAACUGUUGUAUUUGUUAUCGAUCCACGGCCGAAAAUCGUUUUCCGAUCGUUGAUAAAAUCCUGAAGUGAGCAUGUUUGAAUCUUCGAACUCUUGAACGCUAAUAAUUCUCUGACAAUGACUAGCAUGUAACGUGUAUCGAUAUGUAAUUAAUAUACAUAUACAUAUGUAUAUAUACAGUGGUGGAUAACAGAACAUCUAAGGAAUUAAAUCAUCAUAGUGAACGCUAUAAUUUAUUAAGGAGGAACUAUAUUUUAUAACACGGGUCACAGUAUAGUAUGAGAAUAUAUAUGAUCUGAAAAAGGAUGAAACAAAUAAUUAUAUGUAUAGGGACGAGAAAGAAUGUAUUUUAUUUGAAGAAAGCAAUAUUUUAAACAAGAAAUGAAAGAUUCGUUAGACAAAGUAGUAUAAAUUUAAUUGCAACAUUUUAUCGAUAUAUUUACGCCGAAUUUAAGAUUUAAUGUUCUUUUAGAUUUUCUUUUGGUCUGAUUGAAUUUCUUAUUCCAUUAUCAAUUUUAUGAUGUUCGCUCGUGGAUAAUUUAUGGAUUUACAUUACUUUGUAAAAGAUACUAUUAAUAGAUUUUCCUAUUAAGUCCUAUUAUAUGAAUACAACUUCACAAACGAAUGAAUAUCUACAUAUCAGAGAGAGGGAAUUUCAUAAAUCAAUCAUACAAAUAUUAGCAUUAAACAUACAGUUACGCAAAUACAUAAAAAUAUGAAUUUUCAACCUUUUCUUUAGCCAUCACUGUAUAUAUUAUAUAUUCAUUGUGAGAAAUGAAGAAAAUGUAAGUUUAUCUAUUAGAGAAAUUAAUGUUUUAUCUAGCGUCGUACUUAAAUUAAAUAUAAUAUAUCGUCGAUAUAUCACUGUCGCUAAAAAAAAAGGAAAGAAAAUGUGAAAAAGACUAUCUUCACGAUAACUAGAAGGAGGAGAAAAAAUUCCAACUCUAAGCGCUCACAUCAAGUUGUGAAUAAACAUAUCAUACCUAAUUAAUAUAUUGAACAAAGAAGGGAGAUAUCAUCGUUUAAUAUAAUAUAAAUAUGAGUCUAUAUAUAUAUUAAAAUAUAUAUAUAUAUAUAAAGAUUAUAAAUCUAUAUGCAAGAAAAAUAGUUAUUAAACGCAUUAUGUCGAAUGAGCGUAGAUCUACAAUAGUAGGCCAUUUUUCAAUCCAUUAAGGCAACAAAAAUUUAUAUGCGUGUACAUUCAUACACAUGCGCAUACGUAUACACACGUGAACGUAAUUAUAAUUUUCUUUUUCCUAUUUCUGAUUCCUCUGAUAAAAAAAAAAAAAUCAACAACCGAAUGCUUCUCUCGGCUCUCUUACAAUCUACCAAAACAGAUCUGCGCGAAAAUAUGAUGUAAUAAGAGAGGAAAGCACGUGCAGCGAAUCGUGCUGGAAUAUCUUUUAAAUUAUUACUAAUAUCUUGUCCUCUUCGUCGCGAGACACGUAAAGGAGGAAAAUUUCAAUAAAAUGUAAACAAAUCAAGUCACUUGAUAUACCUAUAUGUAUGUAUGAGAAUUUUUAUGUGUACAUAAAUUCUGCAACUUGAAUCGAUUUAGUGGCUGUCCUAAUCAUCUAUAUUAAAGUAGAAACGAAAAUGAAGAGAGAAAAAGUUACGACAUUUUCCUCCUGUGAUAUUUGAAUUGCGAUUCGUUUGUUUCUUUCUUUCUAUUUUCUAUCUUCUUUUUUUCAAAAUUUCUAGUCCCCACGACUUAUUCGUCAAGUUAACAGUCGCGUAACACGAUACGCUCGUAAACGUUGUUAGAACACGUUAAUCGAAACGGCCAAAUACUUAAAUAACGAUAUUAAUAUAAACUAUAAUGAUCGCUCGAUCAGGCCGGCCAAUCAUCUUUACUGGAUUUCUCCUAUUGAACUCAAUGCUAUCGCUACAUAAGUCAUUGAAUCUCAUAAACGUUCAAAAAUAUGCUAUAUUCCAAUCGCAUAACCUCAAUUUGUUUCACAUCACACAUCAAAUGUAGUUGAUUCGUUUUUGUAAAUUGUCCGACUAUUAUUUCAUCAUAAUUCGAUAAAUAAAUGAUUGGCCGGCAUAAUCAGAAAAGCUAAUAAGAAUGAGAAUCGAUGUUAUAUUGUUUAAAUUAAAGUGUAAUAUCCUUUCUUUUUCUUUCCCUCGUCUCGUGUUCCGAACGAAGCGCAAAAUCGCCUUUUCCUCUUUACACGUUUCCUCUCAGUCUCGUUUCCAUUCUCCCCGUUCCAUCCACUUUAAUCUCGUGUGCUAUUUGCUCUCAUAUGCUACUUUUUAACAUUGAGAUUUCGGUCAUGGUGCUAUAAUAUCUGUACAUAUACUGUGGGAAUCGUUGUGUAAUCAAUGUACCAUUAUUAUUAAUAUUAUUCGAACUAUAAUCGCAUCCAAUAUAGCUAUUAUUAUUAUUUUAUUAUUUUGAUAUACUCAUAUUUACAUGACCGUUACGUUUAACAAUACAUCAACUUAUAAAUUUGUCUCGUAAUUUGCGCACGAAUAUUGGGAAACGCUAACAAAGAAAAAAAGAUGGCGAUUCCUUUCAUUUCAGAGAUAAAAAUAUAUAGUAAAUAUAUAUAUAUAUAUAAAUAUAUACAUAUAUUCCGCCCGUAAAACAGGACUCUGCAAUAAUCAUGAUUUUGUUUGAUAUUGAUUCUAUGAUUGUAUAUUUAUAGAUAAGUUGAGCUCAAGCGUGCAUCUCGUUGCGUACGCUAUAUCGCAUAUAUUAUACAUACUCUUCAUUUUUAUAUAGGCGAGAUAUCGACUGCAUACUAUAUCUAUACCGGAUGUUUUGUAAAUCGUAAAACAAUCAGGAAAGUAGAAGAUUUCACGGUCAAAUACAAGGCGAUCCCGAAAAUAAAGGUAUUACUGAAUCUGAAGCAUCUAGCAUCUUUGACAGAAACUUGACGAUAACCUAAAUAGUACUUUCUACAUUAUAUGUUAGGUAGAUUUGUGCGAGGUCGUCCUACAUCCGGCACAGAAUCUGCACGGUUCUUCUCUGAUCGAUUCACGAUUUAUAAAACAGCCUAUGUAUAAAACGAUAUAUCGAAGUGAUUGAGGUGACGAUGACGAUGGAUGACGGCGUGCCAAGCAAGGCGGGAAUUGUUCUUUAAAAGCAAAAAAAUAUAAUAUUACAUAUAUAUGUAUAAAAUAAUAUAAACGACGAUAAUGAUAUUAAGGUAAAUAAGUACGACAAAACGACUGCUCUAUACUGCUAAAGUACAAAUGUUUCAUUUAUUUGUUUUAUAAAAACGAUAUCGAUUUGUUAGAGAUUAGGUUUAAUGCGUGCACGCUCAAGCGCGCGAUGUACGUGUAAUUAUAUUUAUUUGUUAAUCUCUCCCUAUAUCUUUCUCUCUCUCUCUCUCUCUCUCUCUCUCUUUCUUUCUUUCUUUUCCUCUCUCAAGUAUAAUAAUGUGGCCCCUCCAUCUACAUAUAUAGCGUCCUAACGUGACGCAUACACAAUAACGUGAUACGCUCAUGCUCGCUCAUUUCACGUUCACCACGACAUCUAAUUUCACACGCAAUCCACAUAUCUCUCCUGCCGUACUUAUGUAAUAGUCGCAUGACAUAUGACAGUUUGGUCCUAGUAAUAUAUGGGUGCGUACAGGUACAUAAGGAUACGAAAUUCGUCGUUUUCGUCGUAACACGCACAGAUUUUGAGCUCCUCAUACCCCUCUCACGGAUAAUCACCAUGGUGGUGUCAGAUGAUCGAUGCUGAAUAGCAGGAAAUAUAACUUACAAACUAUAGCUAACAGAAUGGUUCUUUUUGUGCAGCGUUUCCCAAUCGUUUCCAUUUUUGCCAAUUAACUUAACGAGCCUUGAUCUUUUAUGUUUUCUAAUUAAAUUUUUUACCAUUUGUAAUUAUGAAGAUAUCGUAUUGUGUUCGUUCUGAAAAGGUGGAAAGGUGUAUGUAAUAUAAAGAAAAUCUUAUGAACUCAUGAACUACCUUUGGAUAGAAUAUCUGCUUACUAUUUCUAAACUAAACGUUUUCACUUUUUGUAAACAAUAUGUAGAUUGGGAAAUGUUGAUUUGUUUAAUCAAGAUGCGACAAUAAUACGUAUAUAUUGUUUAAUGGCAAAGCAAUGAAUUGUAUAAGUACGACUACUUAUGAAAUUAUAAUGACGUGAUUCAGCAAUUUUGUUCCUUAGAUACAACAAAUGAUUUCAACUACUGUUUUGUCGUUGUAAAAUGUUUUAAUUCAUUUGUGCUCAAAAUGUCGAAAACAAUGCAUGAAUUUUAAGAAACUUUCAUGUUUUAAUUCAGAAUAUUAUUGCCAGAUAAAAGCGUGAAAAAUAUUUUUCUAACAAAAAGGACACUAAUUUUUUAAUACGCCUCUACUACGAAUAAUAGUUCCGAGCAAAGAUGAAUUAAAAUGAAUUGAAUAUUUCAUACAACGCUAUUUGUAUUACAGAUUCAAUAAAUACGUUAUUAUUGUCGUUGCUUGAUUCAAUCAUAUAUUCAGCGUUAUAUUUCCAUCUCAUUCAUGGGUGUUCAUUAAAUAUUAUUUUCUCUUUUAUAUUACUUCACCUACGAUCGUACUUAAUCGCAUCAGUAUCGUUUCAUCCGAUAACCGAUUAAUUUCCGACAUAUCAGAAUAUAUUCUGCUAAAUCGAAUAGCAAUUCAAUUAACAUUUAAUCCUUUCGCAAUGCAAUAUGUUUUCCCUAUUUUCCAUCAGGCGGCCUGCAUUAAUUUAUUGUACAAUUAAUACACGCUUCUGUUCGCAUGAAUAUCUUAGCGCGAAGUAUUUUUAUGAUGUAUAAAUAAUUUUGAGAGAAUUAUAUAUGACAUUUAAUUUGAAAUAAAAUUACACAUGAUAAGGUACGCAAUUUAAAUUAAUUCGACAAAUGCAAAGAGUUUGAGUAAAUAGGGAAAACAACGGAAGAAAUAAAAUAAAAUAAAGUAAUUAACCGGAGAAAGAAUCGCUAUUGAAACUAUUGGAUGAUUCACGAAAUUGGAAUCCAAAGGAAAUGCAAUGGAAAGUAAUUGUCAUGCUGUUCGUAAUGCAUCACGAUCUAACGGAUGCACGAAGAAAUAAAGAAACAAAAUAAUGUAUGUAUAUCUCUAUCAUACAUACCGUCGCAAUAAUCGAUCGAUAUUUUAUAUUUUUUUUUCCUGUAAGACAAAAGUUUGUCCACUUUAGCUCUUUGCAAAUAUGCGCGUAUCGAUCGUAUUUUUGUAAAUCCUCUAGAAACCGAUUUCAUCUGAAGUUCACGCUGCCGAUAUUGAACGUCUCAUAACGUAAAAUUGUUUUGCAACGAAUCGCGAUAAAAAGAAAAAAACGAACUAGAUCGCAGAGAGUUAAAAUGCUCGGACAACGUUUGUCGACGGUAGAAUACUUGACCAUUUGAGUGCAGAGGAUCGUGACCGCGUUCCUCGAUACUCGGACAAGAAAUACGAAAAGCACAGAAACGCUUCUCAUAUUUCUUCCGUUAUAAAACAACUAUUGGACAUGCACAACAUCGUAUGUCCAGCAGUUGUGCCUUUACAUUGAGAAAAUCGUUCGUGAUUCACUGUUAUUUGAUCAGUAUCAGUUAAUAAACUUUUUAAAUAGUGUUAAAAAAUAAAGGCAACAUUUCUUUCUGUCUCGAAUCCUUCAUUUUACCCAAACUCCCAAAACACAUUCUAUUAUUUAAAAUCUACAAUUUAAAUGUAUACAUAAAACUACUCUCUGCACUCAAAUGGUUCAAUCAAUGUUUAACGAGAUUUUAAUUGUCGUAUAAGAUCGUUUUGCGAUAACAAAUACAGGCGAGCUGAAACAAUCGGAAUGGAAUUAAAUUAAAUUAAUUAUAUAAACUGUAAUGAAUUUAACUUGAAUCUCGAAUGCAUACUUUUUAGUAAACACUGUUGAUACAAUGAUAGUGUAAAUGGAUUAAAAAAUCUUGUAUGUGUGUUAGAAUUAUUCGUAGAUAAUUAGAAAACGUAAAGUUUCUUAGUCGUUCACAUUCAUGGCUUCCUUCUUUCGUAUUUCCGCUCAUACUUCGUCACGCAAAGAUGGAAAAUUCAAGUAUUAGUCAUUUGUCCAAUUAGCUUAAUAUAUAAUGUCGAUAUUUUAAAAACAACAGUAUCGAUAAAAUCGACUUUCGAUCUGAUCAGAUAAAUGUUUAAUUAUUAUUCGAAAUUGUUUUAGAGGUUAGAAACUGGUCGAAACGUCUUCUGUAGUUCACAGUGGGAAGAUAUACGAAAAAUUGCGAUGCAAUACAAUAUUAUGAAAGUUACUACUAAAUUUCCUACAGCGCGUGUCGUAACCAUCGGCAAGGUCGGUCAGACGUCUUGUCAUUUCACGGUCUGACUGCGCGUUUGAAGUUGUUCAAAUAGCACCGUUCUUUUGAUGUGUAAGAAAAUAUAUCUGCGCGUCCUAAUGCGGUCAAGAAAGAAAAUGUUUGUCGCAUGUAGCCCGAAGAAUGUACCACAUUUCUCGCUCAUGUUUCUUAUGUUUGGCCCAAAGAACGUGCCACGAGUCUAGCUCGUGUUUCUUAUGUUUGGCCAGAAAACGUACCAUGGCUCUAACUCGACGUCGUUGGUUAAGUACAAUUAAAUAAAUAUUCUUAAAUGUUUCAAACAUCUUCAAUAAGAAAUUUAGCUUCAUUAGAAUACAGAACUGUUAGAUACAAAUAAAUAAAACUAAGAUUUUUCUUGCCAUCUA
rnacentral:lncRNA from 1 species